rnacentral:rRNA from 1 species
AGAGUUUGAUCCUGGCUCAGGAUGAACGCUGGCGGCGUGCUUAACACAUGCAAGUCGAACGAAGCACCUUUACAGAAUCUCUUCGGAGAAGACGUAAUUGUGACUUAGUGGCGGAUGGGUGAGUAACGCGUGGGUAACCUGCCUUGUACAGUGGGAUAACAACCGGAAACGGUUGCUAAAACCACAUGAUGUGUAGACAUCGCAUGAUGACUACAUCAAAUAUUUAUAGGUAUGAGAUGGACCCGCGUCUGAUUAGCUAGUUGGUGAGAUAAAAGCUCACCAAGGCGACGAUCAGUAGCCGGCUUGAGAGAGUGACCGGCCACAUUGGGACUGAGACACGGCCCAAACUCCUACGGGAGGCAGCAGUGGGGAAUAUUGCACAAUGGGGGAAACCCUGAUGCAGCGACGCCGCGUGAGUGAAGAAGUAUUUCGGUAUGUAAAGCUCUAUCAGCAGGGAAGAUAAUGACGGUACCUGACUAAGAAGCCCCGGCUAACUACGUGCCAGCAGCCGCGGUAAUACGUAGGGGGCAAGCGUUAUCCGGAAUUAUUGGGCGUAAAGGGUUCGUAGGCGGUAAUGCAUGUCAGCUGUGAAAUCUUGUGGCUUAACCACAUCAAGCAUCUGAAACUGCAUAACUUGAGUGAAGGAGAGGUAAGUGGAAUUCCUAGUGUAGCGGUGAAAUGCGUAGAUAUUAGGAAGAAUACCAGUAGCGAAGGCGACUUACUGGCCUUUAACUGACGCUGAUGAACGAAAGCGUGGGUAGCAAACAGGAUUAGAUACCCUGGUAGUCCACGCCGUAAACGAUGAGUGCUAGGUGUCGGGAGUCAAAUCUCGGUGCCGUAGUUAACGCAAUAAGCACUCCGCCUGGGGAGUACGUGCGCAAGCAUGAAACUCAAAUGAAUUGACGG